GGUUCCAGUAACCGGACAUAAAGCCCAGGGACCGAGUGGGUUAAUACUGCUUCUAAGGACUGCUAAACGCAAGGAAGUGUUCAUUCUCUUCCCAGCCUCUGGCCUUUCUGAACUUGAACAAAAAAAUAAACUCUGAUUUUGAAAGAAAACGGGAAGUACAAAGGCACUGCAAAGUCAUCCAUAGAAGACACUAUUCUCAAACUUGAACUUCCCACACAGAAAGUUCUGUUGUUGGAGAGUGUUUAAACAUAUGGACAUGAGCUUGUGUGUAGGCCUUCCACCAAGAAAAAGUUGUUCUUCCUCCAGAGUUAUGCUCAGUUUUGAGAGUGCUGCACGCAGGACUAGGUUAUCCCAGAUCUGAGCACUCUGCCUUCAGUCUGAGCAGCAGAGCUGUGAUGUCUCAACAGCAGGCAGGAAAUGUUUCUCCCUGAAGUGUUCAGGCCACAGUAGAAGAAAGGAGCAAGAGCACUCCAUUUUCCCCUCUAGCUGCCAGCAAACCAUCUUAGGAUUCAUUCUGAAUAUUUCAGGAUCAAAAGCUAGAUGAAAUUCAUUAGAAACUAUGGUACUCUGGACUGGUGAAGAAAAGGCUAGAAGAAGAAGAUUGGCGAGAACUCAACCUUGUCAGAGUUUGGCCUGGAACAGAACUCCUUGACCUGGAAGCUGCAGCUGAUGGAGAACCUGCCUCUCAUUUGUACUUCUGGAGAACAAUGAGCUAUUCACUUCUGCUGUGCUGCAAGGCUUAUUCACUUUAUGGUCAAUUCUCAAAUGUCUGUGAGAAGAUUAUCUGGGUUAUGUAUUAUAUGUGUCAUGCUUUAAAAAAAAGAAAAUCCUUUUCUGACCUCAUUCCAUGCUUACAGUCUCAUUCUUAAAAGGUAAAUAUACU